rnacentral:lncRNA from 1 species
AUCCGCUCCGCUCUGCUCCCUGGUGUGUUGAUUCUUCCCCCAGCUGCUGCCUAAUGGAGUCCAGGCGCUCGCGUCACAGGAAAUGCCUAUACUGCCCUCCUCACUCACUUCCGGUGGCAGAUCAAGUCUUCAGCAGACAUCAUGUGACCUUGAGGAUGGAUGUCACAUGCUGGAGGAAACAGAAGGCCGAAACCCUGAUGACUUCACAGAGCUGCCAAAACAGUUCCUGACUGUUUAUUCCGGGUCUUUAACAAAGUGAUGAAAA